AUUGAACGCUGGCGGCAGGCUUAACACAUGCAAGUCGAGCGGAGAGAGGUAGCUUGCUACUGAUCUUAGCGGCGGACGGGUGAGUAAUGCUUAGGAAUCUGCCUAUUAGUGGGGGACAACAUCUCGAAAGGGAUGCUAAUACCGCAUACGUCCUACGGGAGAAAGCAGGGGAUCUUCGGACCUUGCGCUAAUAGAUGAGCCUAAGUCGGAUUAGCUAGUUGGUGGGGUAAGGCCUACCAAGGCGACGAUCUGUAGCGGGUCUGAGAGGAUGAUCCGCCACACUGGGACUGAGACACGGCCCAGACUCCUACGGGAGGCAGCAGUGGGGAAUAUUGGACAAUGGGGGGAACCCUGAUCCAGCCAUGCCGCGUGUGUGAAGAAGGCCUUAUGGUUGUAAAGCACUUUAAGCGAGGAGGAGGCUACUUUAGAUAAUACCUAGAGAUAGUGGACGUUACUCGCAGAAUAAGCACCGGCUAACUCUGUGCCAGCCGCCGCCGUAAGAC
rnacentral:rRNA from 1 species